UCUUAUGGAUGAGCAAAUAAUGUAGUUUCUUGAGAUGGAAUCUACUCCUCGUGAAGAUACCAUGAA
rnacentral:pre_miRNA from 1 species